rnacentral:lncRNA from 1 species
AGCUGCACAUUCCUUGGAUAGCAGCAAAGGAUUCGGCUGUCUAGACACAACCAAAUAAGAGCACAAAGCUUACUUUGAGCAAAUCACCAACUACUUCUGCUGGCCAACAAUGGGCAGAAAGGUUCUCUGAUCCCCUUAGCUGUGGUGCAUGGGAGUAAGUCCAGGCUCUACAUGAAGAACUGUGAGGGUGUCAAAACCAACAAAACAGAUUAAAUACUAACACCAGGACAUAUCACUGUAUAGACGUUUUAAGGUGAGAUGCCUUUUUGUUGGUGGUGGCAGCAGAUGACUGUGGACUGGCCAGUAGAGGGUGCUAUUUGAAUUACGGAGUAAAACGUCAAUAAAU